GUUAGACAGGCUUACCCCAGUCAUUUCAUUAACCUCGCAAAAAUGUGAUCCAGCAUUUUACGUGAUUAAAUUUUUAGAUCCUACAUUUCAUAUCAUGGGAAGGAUUUUAUUACAUUUUUAAAUGAGAGAAGAAAUUUAAAGCCUGGAGAAGGAAGACAAAUUCAUAUGAAGAUACAAUAAGAAGGCCUCCAUCUGCAAACCAAGAGGGCUCUGACCAGACCCUGAACGUGCCAUGGUUUUGGACUUCUUUGGCUCCAGAACUGUGAGAAAUAAAUGUUUGCUUUUAAGUCA